AACGAACGCUGGCGGCAGGCCUAACACAUGCAAGUCGAGCGAGGACUUCGGUCCUAGCGGCGGACGGGUGAGUAACGCGUGGGAACGUGCCCUUUGGUACGGAAUAGCCCCGGGAACGUGGGAGUAAUACCGUAUGGUGUCUUCGGACUAAAGAUUUAUCGCCAAAGGAUCGGCCCGCGUUGGAUUAGGUAGUUGGUGGGGUAAUGGCCUACCAAGCCGACGAUCCAUAGCUGGUUUGAGAGGAUGAUCAGCCACACUGGGACUGAGACACGGCCCAGACUCCUACGGGAGGCAGCAGUGGGGAAUCUUAGACAAUGGGGGCAACCCUGAUCUAGCCAUGCCGCGUGAGUGAUGAAGGCCCUAGGGUUGUAAAGCUCUUUCAGCUGGGAAGAUAAUGACGGUACCAGCAGAAGAAGCCCCGGCUAACUCCGUG
rnacentral:rRNA from 1 species